rnacentral:rRNA from 1 species
GAUGAACGCUGGCGGCGUGCCUAAUACAUGCAAGUCGAGCGAACAGACGAGGAGCUUGCUCCUCUGACGUUAGCGGCGGACGGGUGAGUAACACGUGGAUAACCUACCUAUAAGACUGGGAGAACUUCGGGAAACCGGAGCUAAUACCGGAUAAUAUAUUGAACCGCAUGGAUCAAUAGUGAAAGACGGUUUUGCUGUCACUUAGAGAUGGAUCCGCGCCGCAUUAGCUAGUUGGUAAGGUAACGGCUUACCAAGGCAACGAUGCGUAGCCGACCUGAGAGGGUGAUCGGCCACACUGGAACUGAGACACGGUCCAGACUCCUACGGGAGGCAGCAGUAGGGAAUCUUCCGCAAUGGGCGAAAGCCUGACGCAGCAACGCCGCGUGAGUGAUGAAGGUCUUCGGAUCGUAAAACUCUGUUAUUAGGGAAGAACAAAUGUGUAAUUAACUCUGCACGUCUUGACGGUACCUAAUCAGAAAGCCCCGGCUAACUACGUG